rnacentral:rRNA from 1 species
GACGAACCGUACGAACGUUAUUCGGAAUCACUGGGCUUAAAGGGUGCGUAGGCUGCGCAGCAAGUUGGGUGUGAAAUCCCUCGGCUUAACCGAGGAACUGCGCCCAAAACUGCUGUGCUCGAGGGAGACAGAGGUGAGCGGAACUUAGGGUGGAGCGGUGAAAUGCGCAGAUAUCAGGAGGAACACCGGUGGCGAAGGCGGGUCUCUGGGCCGAUACUGACGCUGAGGAGCGAAAGCGUGGGGAGCGAACAGG